GACAGUGGAUCCAGGAGGGGAGGACAGUACAGUGACCUGGCCAGGGCGUGGAGCCACAGAGGAAGCCACGCGAGCCCUGGAGAGCGAGGUGGGAUGCAGCAUGAGCAGCUGUCGGUUAUGGGGAGCAUCAGACCUGAAAGGAGCAAGACCCCAAACAGAUGCCCCAAUGGGGCAACAAACAUGAAGAUCUGAACUGUUCAGGAGAAGGCAGGGUGGACUGAUUGGAGAAGACUUUCUGUCUGCUAUUUUAUGACUAUUGGCUACCGUGCAAUGAUUUCUGCAUCAGCAACUGAUGUAAAUACAGAGUACACCAGGAUGAAAUAUUUUCAGGAUAUGUUCCACUCUCUGGGCCAAGACUGGACUUACGACGUGUAUGAUGAAGCAAUGUAUUGCAAAGCACAGUUGAUUAAAUGGAGGAAUCGAACCGAAUUUGACAAUGACCCCUUUGAGAUGGGAGGCGUGCAUCGUACAGUGAAUUUCCUGGGUGACAUAGGCAGUGUGAUACAGGAAAGUGGGUUUGAAGACCUCCUUGUGGAAGCAAGCAUCGAUGGUGCUUCAGUCAUCAGCCAUGCUGUAGGAGCGAAAGCACAUAACCGUGGUGUUAGAAUCCAGAAACCUAUGAAGGAAGCAAUGAAUCAUUUGAAAUGGGUGGCACUGGGCAAUUCCAUGAACAAUGAUGUUCUCCCAGGAGAUUAGAAGAGAUGCAUCUUGGAGAAAGUUUGACCUUGCACGGAAGCAUUUGAAGAUGUGGACAAGGCACACAGAGAAAAGAGCGUGGAAGCACAGAAUGCUCUGGCAGACGUCAUGAACAGAACCCAGUCACUCCACCAGCUCAUGGACACUUACGUUACCCAAGGGAAAAACUGCUGAGAUACAUUUCUGCUCUGGGAAAACUAUGUAAUGGAUAAAGAAAAGGAGGACUUGUGGCACCUUAGAGACUAACCAAUUUAUUUGAGCAUGAGCUUUCGUGAGCCAGAGCUCACUUCAUCGGAUGGCUCAUGCUCAAAUAAAUUGGUUAGUCUCUAAGGUGCCACAAGUACUCCUUUUCUUUUUGCAAAGACAGACUAACACGGCUGUUACUCUGAAAUAUGUACUGGAUGUUGCCCAACUCCUGAGGGAUACACUGCAGCAAAGAGAGGAGAUAACAAGUCCUCGUCGCUUGAGACACUGGCAGAGAUGAUUGCACUUGAAUUGCAGUGUGGUCAUAUGAACUAUGCUAGAUGGGGUUGUGUAAAUGUACCAGAAGCCAGAUAUAUGUCCCAUGCCAGCUGACAGUCAGGGUACAGAAUACCAGACUGCUCCACGGCCAUGUCAUGCCAUAUACCACAGAAGCAUGUGGCAAUCACUCAACGAGGACUGUGAGAAGCAUCUGCAUCUUUGCACAAAAGAUAAGGCGCUGACCAAGUAUUACCUGACUGUACAUUUUACGUUAUUCGCAGUGAUGUGUUUUCCCUGAGAUAUCUGAGGGACAAGGCAGGUGAGGUAAUAUCUUUUACUGGACUAUGGUGAAAGAGACAAGCUUUCGAACACCAAGAAAACUCAGUCCAAUCAAAGAUAUUACUUCACCCACCUUGUCUCUGCACAUUUUAAGGCAGCUGUAACAUCUACACAAGGCAGAUGUGUGGAAUGCAGCCUUCAGAAGCAGAUCUCCACAAAGAAGUGACCACAAAGGGCAUUGCUACAGAUGAAACUGCUGUCCAAGAUAUUAUAAAACUUGUGACUGAAAGUAUGACAAAACCUUUAUGCACUGAACCUGGAACAAGCCCAGACCACAGGCAGCCACUUGUGAACACUGCAACAUCUACUGUGACCCCACCUGAAACUGAAGAAAGUUUGCUUGAUCACAGAGAACGGCACACAAGGAAUGAAACAGUUUGUAACCAGGAGGCUGCAAAGGGGUGAGGGAGACGUCUUUGAGCCCAUAAAAAGACACAAUCUCAAAUCAUUUGAUAAUCGCAACAAAACAACUGAUCAAAAGAAGAAGCAGAGCUGGGAACGGACAUGUGUUGUAUGUUGUCAAACAUUCAUGCUGUCAGUAGAAGUGACUCUACUUCAGCUUUCGGUGGCACGGCAGAAAGAGCUGGCUGACGACAGCCGCUGAGCUGGAGAGAGAAGAGAAACCAAAGAGGUCUUUUCUCCCUUUUAAGGUUCCACAGUAGUUCAUCUGCCAUUGAUGGGCCUUCUCUGUUGGGCAGGACAUCACACCUUCUGCACACCAGCAUUUCACACGACCUGAUGUCUUUCUCCUCAUUCGUGAUUUACAGUUACCAAGGAUUACAAUGCAAACACUUAAAUAUUACCUUAUACCAUUGGGUACAGAUAUUAUAAGCGAGAUUAAUGCAUGCAGCAAUUUA